UGAGCUGUAGUUCCGUGGCACUAUAGCCAGGUUCCGGCUGUAUCCGCUGCCAUCCUCCUCCAGGCGCGGCCUCGGAGGGCCUCCUGCUCCUCCUGGCGCUAGGAGAGCCCCACUCGGUGUGGCACGGAGACACCGAGCCGAAAGGAAAGAAGGCCAAGGGAAAGAAGGUGGCUCCGGCCCCAGCUGUCGUGAAGAAGCAGGAGGCUAAGAAAGUGGUGAAUCCCCUGUUUGAGAAAAGGCCUAAGAAUUUUGGCAUUGGACAGGACAUCCAGCCCAAAAGAGACCUCACCCGCUUUGUGAAAUGGCCCCGCUAUAUCAGGUUGCAGCGGCAGAGAGCCAUCCUCUAUAAGCGGCUGAAAGUGCCUCCUGCGAUUAACCAGUUCACCCAGGCCCUGGACCGCCAAACAGCUACUCAGCUGCUUAAGCUGGCCCACAAGUACAGACCAGAGACAAAGCAAGAGAAGAAGCAGAGACUGUUGGCCCGGGCCGAGAAGAAGGCUGCUGGCAAAGGGGACGUCCCAACGAAGAGACCACCUGUCCUUCGAGCAGGAGUUAACACCGUCACCACCUUGGUGGAGAACAAGAAAGCUCAGCUGGUGGUGAUUGCACACGACGUGGAUCCCAUCGAGCUGGUUGUCUUCUUGCCUGCCCUGUGUCGUAAAAUGGGGGUCCCUUACUGCAUUAUCAAGGGAAAGGCAAGACUGGGACGUCUAGUCCACAGGAAGACCUGCACCACUGUCGCCUUCACACAGGUGAACUCGGAAGACAAAGGCGCUUUGGCUAAGCUGGUGGAAGCUAUCAGGACCAAUUACAAUGACAGAUACGAUGAGAUCCGCCGUCACUGGGGUGGCAAUGUCCUGGGUCCUAAGUCUGUGGCUCGUAUCGCCAAGCUCGAAAAGGCAAAGGCUAAAGAACUUGCCACUAAACUGGGUUAAAUGUAC
rnacentral:misc_RNA from 1 species